AAUAGUGAAUAUGUUCGAUCCAUUUAUUUUUUUGGAGCUUUUGCUUUUGUGUUGUUUUCGUAUUCAGUUUUCACUUGGAAAAGUAAAUACUACAACCUGGGAGAGGAAAUCAGCUCAAUUAUCGAAAAAAGAAAUCUGGACCCGGUUAAGAAAAUAAUUUAUGAAAAAUCUCUACGAAGAAUUGACGUGGCGACCAAAUUCUUUUUUAAAUUGACAUUUAAGAUAGUUACACCGAUAUUUAUGAUCGUACCUGUUGGUUUGUCAUGUUUCUGGUAUAUUUCGUUGGGCUACAACAAUGAAUCAUUUGUACAAGUGUAUCCCGCAACGUAAGUAAAUUUUGAAAUUGUGUACCACUUGGAAAAUUGUUACGGCUAAUUUCAUUCUUCCAAGGUAUCCAUUUAACUGGCGAACACCAAUUGGGUAUUUGGCAGUCAUAAUUAUACAGACAACAACAUUUAUAAUAGGUUCUUUAAUGGCGAUGAUAUUUAUUUCGAGCGUCGGAUACUGUAUGCUAUCGAUAGAUCUCACUUCUGAUCUCAAAGAAUGCGUACGUGAAAUUGGCGAUGGUUUAGCUUCAAUGAAAAAAUUAAACCGACAAAGGAGAACACGUGUGCAAAUUCAAAUGACGCAAAAACUUGUAGAAUUCGUCGACUUUUAUUCGGAAGCGAGGGAGUUGAGUGUGAUAUUUUUGAUAAUAAAUAGUAUUUAUUUAUUAAAUACCAGAAAAUUAAUAUUUAAUUAUUAUGUAGGUUCGUCAAAAGCUUCUCUGCAAUCAAUCAACCACUUGCCUUAGGUUAUUUUCUGUUUGUUAUUGUUAGUCUCUGCGCCCUAUUUCUUCAAAUCAACACGAUAGUUGAAACUGGCAGCUCUGCUUUUAUUUUGCAAGUCUUAUUUGCUUUGCUAUACAUCGUAUUCUUGCUGUUUGCAAUAUGCUACACGGGACAGCAAGUGACAAAUGGAUUUGAUGACAUUGCCGAUCUGUUGUAUCAGAUUGAUUGGUAUCGCCUACCAAUGAACAUCCAGAAGUAUAUGCCCAUGAUAUUGGCUGUGUCACAGAAGAAAGUUCGCAUCGCAGCUUAUGGCUCAAUUCGUUGUAAUUUUCUAACUUUCAGAGCGAUAAUAGACAAAGUAUAUUCACUUUAUGCGGUGUUUAGAGAACUACAAUUAUAAUUCAAUGGAGAUUCAAGUUGCAUGAAAGAUGACCGAC